rnacentral:rRNA from 1 species
ACUCCUACGGGAGGCAGCAGUGAGGAAUAUUGGGGCAAUGGAGGCAACUCUGACCCAGCCAUGCCGCGUGCAGGAAGACGGCCCUAUGGGUUGUAAACCUGGCUUUUAUACAUGGAAGAAACGCAUCUACGUGUAGGUGUUUGACGGUACUGUAAGAAUAAGGAUCGGCUAACUCCGUGCCAGCAGCCGCGGUAAUACGGAGGAUUCGAGCGUUAUCCGGAUUUAUUGGGUUUAAAGUGUCCGUAGGCGGAUUAAUAAGUCAGUGGUGAAAUCCCAUCGCUUAACGAUGGAACUGCCAUUGAUACUGUUAGUCUUGAAUGAGGGUGCAGUGGUUGGAAUGUGUAGUGUAGCGGUGAAAUGCAUAGAUAUUACACAGAACACCGAUUGCGAAGGCAGAUCACUAACCCUAAAAUUGACGCUGAGGGGACGAAAAGCGUGGGGAGCGAACAGGAUUAGAUACCCUGGUAGGAUAGCGU